GCUGUUUGAUUUUUUUUAUCUGAAUUUUUUCCUCCCAAAAUAUUCUAGCUUUAUAUUAUUAUUUAAAGAACUUAUCAUUAAAUUUAAUGGCAAAAAUCUCAAUCAGAACUUUCCAGAUCAGAAUAUCAAUUACCACUAAAAUGGGAAUCAACAUGUUUUUUAACUUUGACCCUCCCAAUCAAGAUUUGCAUGGUCAUUGACAAUAGUGAACUGAUACCUUAUGAAAACUUUCAUGAAAAUACUUUAUUUUCUGGUUAAUUCUUUUAUAUCAACAUUUCUAAAAUUGUUUUUCUAGGAAUGCAAAUAAAUGUUUUACCAAUUCUAUGGAUCAACAUUUCUAAAAUUGUUUUUCUAGGAUUGCAAAUAAAUGUUUUACCAAUUCUAUGGUCAAUCUUAUCAACACACUAAUAAGCAUAUAGACUAAAAUAAGUAUCUAUAACUUUCAAUCCUGAUCCCUUACCUACAAAAAUUUAUAAUGAACCACAUUACAAGACCAAAAAAUAAAUCAUAUUAUAC
rnacentral:lncRNA from 1 species